GGCAGUAAAUGAAGGGUAGGGGUCUCCCAACACCCUUUAGUCCACUUUUGUGGACUUUUGUGGACUAAAGGACUAAAGGCUUGAGUCCUACUUUUAGUCCAAGUGUUUGGGUGUUUAGUCCCACUAAAUUGCACAUUUUAGUCCAUGGUGGGAACCAAACACCCCCUUAAUCCACAAAACUGGAUUAAAGUGGACUAAAGGGUGUUGGGGACACCCUACCCCUCAUUUACUG
rnacentral:lncRNA from 1 species